UCCAUUAUGACGAACUUCCCUCUGGCUACUAUGAUGUGGAGGACAGUGAGGGGAACCCCAUCCAAGGUUUUCCCCUCACUCCCCCUGGAGAGGAGAGCACCCGGGCCGCACUGCCCCCUGAAGAAGGACCCGUUGCACCUGACAGGACUGACUACGAUGAUGUUGGGGAGGAGUCUCCAGGAGAGGGUGGGGCGCUGUGAGGCUGGCAGUGUGUCUGGAGGAGAAUAGAGGGGCAGCUGGAGCCCCCUAGAGUUCUAGAUCUGUAAGAGCGCCAUUAACUGUAAACCUGCCAGACAGUUUCACUGCAGUUCCGUUGAAACUCCAUUGGCUGAAUAUUUAGCAGGCUUCUCAUAAAAGUGCUUCAUGUCAAAUAUGAAUGUUUCCCUUUAUGCUGCAAAAUUGCAUCUUGUUACAAAGCUGGUUAAAUCAAAUUAGCAAAGAUGUCUGAAAGAAACUAAGAAAUUAUAUUUUCCCAAGAAAAAUAUAUCAUCAAAUUAUGUGUUGCAAAGCAACCUCAAAGAUCAGUAUUAUAUAUAUAUAUAUUUUAAAAAUCCAGUACCAAAAGUAACUGAAACAGUUCAGAAAUGUAACUAACAGCCAUUGGGUGGGUUUUGGGAAAACACAUUGUUAUAACAAUGGUUUUUGUCUACCCCCCUCCCCUCCCCCCUCACAAUUAUGAAGGUAGAUACAGAUUUCCAAAUGUAAAGGAGAUUCGCUUGGCAGUCUGCUGUCUGUGUAUUUUGUGUCCAUUUUUUCUAGCAAUGUCUCUUCUGGUCAGGUUUUCUUUUAAAUCCAGUCCAUAGUCUUUAAAUACAGACUGUGUUUUAAUAGGGGUCUGUGUUUCCUCUUUCAGCCUGUAAUUGUGGUGGUGUGCAGUUUCAAAGGGGAUCUGGUUUGAAAAUGAAUUGUUUUGAAAUUCCAUUGUAAAGUUUGGAUUUACAGAAUUCCUGUAGCCCAACUCUUGACAGUUACCCUGUUUGUAAUUCAUUUGGAGCUAGGUGUGCAGAUAAAAAAUGAUUUCUAUAUUAAAAUGUUAGUUUGUUUUUUUAUUAUUUGAAUAUAUCUAUUCUGCUUUAAUGUACCAUUUCUAAACGUAUAGCAUUUCUUGCAGAAUGUGCAAUGGCUUGAUGGCUGUAUUCUGUUUUUAAACAAUAAAGUCUAAUUUAACAUC